rfam:Firmicutes bacterium CAG:102 genomic scaffold, scf68
UACAGAAAAAGGCACAAUCGGCGAAAGCCGAUGUCGCAAAGCCAAGGGUCUAAACGGCGAGGGGAUUUGCCGCAGGACAGCCGGCUACCGAA